AUUGAACGCUGGCGGCAUGCCUUACACAUGCAAGUCGAACGGUAGAGGGGGCAACCCCUUGAGAGUGGCGAACGGGUGAGUAAUGCAUCGGAACGUGCCCAGUCGUGGGGGAUAGCCCGGGGAAACCCGGAUUAAUACCGCAUACGACCUGAGGGUGAUAGCGGGGGACCGAAAGGCCUCGCGCGAUUGGAGCGGCCGAUGGCGGAUGAGGUAGUUGGUGGGGUAAAGGCCUACCAAGCCAGCGAUCCGUAGCUGGUCUGAGAGGACGACCAGCCACACUGGGACAGAUACACGGCCCAGGCUCCUACGGGGGUCAACAGUGGGGAAUUUUGGACAAUGGGCUCAAGCCUUAUCCAGCCAUGCCGCGUGCGGGAAGAAGGCCUUCGGGUUGUAAACUGCUUUUGUACGGAGCGAAAAGGUUCUCUCUAAUACAGAGGGCUCAUGACGGUACCGUAAGAAUAAGCACCGGCUAACUACGUGCCAGCCGCCGCGGUAA
rnacentral:rRNA from 1 species